rnacentral:rRNA from 1 species
GAUGAACGCUGGCGGCGUGCCUAAUACAUGCAAGUCGAGCGAACAGACGAGGAGCUUGCUCCUCUGACGUUAGCGGCGGACGGGUGAGUAACACGUGGAUAACCUACCUAUAAGACUGGGAUAACUUCGGGAAACCGGAGCUAAUACCGGAUAAUAUAUUGAACCGCAUGGUUCAAUAGUGAAAGACGGUUUUGCUGUCACUUAUAGAUGGAUCCGCGCCGCAUUAGCUAGUUUGUAAGGUAACGGCUUACCAAGGCGACGAUGCGUAGCCGACCUGAGAGGGUGAUCGGCCACACUGGAACUGAGACUCGGUCCAGACUCCUACGGGAGGCAGCAGUAGGGAAUCUUCCGCAAUGGGCGAAAGCCUGACGGAGCAACGCCGCGUGAGUGAUGAAGGUCUUCGGAUCGUAAAACUCUGUUAUUAGGGAAGAACAAAUGUGUAAGUAACUAUGCACGUCUUGACGGUACCUAAUCAGAAAGCCACGGCUAACUACGUG